GGAAACUCAGGUUGACAUCAUUGACCGGUUGCCGCUCCAUCAGCUUGAAACCAAGUGAUCAGAAAACUUGCAACUGAUUGUGCUGCAUCAGUUUAUGAGAGUUGCGCAACACAAACGCUGCUCGUUCUUUGGAAAUGUCACUCUUGGAUCAUCUGUCACCCUUCCCGAGCUCCUCGAGCUGUAUGAUGUGUUUAUUUGUGCUUGCAUAUGGUGCUGAAAGUGAUAGAGUUCUUGGUAUCACAGGAGAGGAUUUGAGUGGAAUAUAUGCAGCUAGAGAGUUUGUGUGGUGGUAUAAUGGGCAUCCGAAAUCUUAAUCCUGACUUGACGAGUUCGGAUACAGCUGUAAUACUUGGCCAGCUAUCUUCUAGUUUAAUUUUGGAAACGAGGAAAGUAUAUUUGGUUGGAAGGCGGGGUCCGGCACAAGCAGCUUGUACAGCUAUAGAUCUGCGUGAAAUUCUUGGUAUAAAAGAUCUGCACGUUCACAUAAAGGAAGUUGAUCGACUGAAAACCCCAGCAGAUGAAGAAGAGAUGAAAAAUAAUCGAAUUUGAAAAAAAAGGUUUAUGAGUUGCUGUCUAAGGCUGCUACAUCGAGACCUUCGCAUCCAAGUUCAGAUCCAGUGAACUCCACUUUGUUUUCUUUCGGAAGCCAGAUAAGUUUCUGGAAUUUGAUGAGAGAAGUGGCCAUAUUUCUGUUGUCAGACUUGAGAAGACAAAGCUCAUAGGUGUGAACCCUGGAGAACUAAUGGCUGCGCGUACUGGACAGUUUGAAGAUCUUGGAUGCGGAAUCGUUCUAAAGAGCAUUGGUUACAAAUCAAUACCAGUUAAUGGCUUACCCUUUGAUAAUCAGAGAAGUAAGCAUUGGUGUGGUCCAAAUGUUAGAGGGCGACUUAUAAGUGAAGCAUCUGGAGAUCAUACACGGCUAGAGAAGGGUUUUUAUGUAUGUGGAUGAUUGAAGAGAGGACCAACUGGGAUCAUUGCUACAAACCUCUAUUGUGCAGAAGAAACUUUUUGUGGUAUUGUACACUACUUGAAAGUAACAAAGAUCAGACGUAUAUUUGUAGCAGAUAUAUAA